AUGUAUGUAUGUAUGUAUGUAUGUAUGUUUUUAUUUCUUUUUUUUUUUAUAUGUACAACUACUGUGUACAAAGAACAAUAUAAAUCUAACUUGAAUGCUUCUCCUCAGACAGAAUACAAAAGACAAUAUUGUUAUUACUUUUGUUUUGUUUUCCAAUACAAACAUCUAAACACCCUUAAAUCAAAAUAAAUUUACGUGGGAUGAUUUUUAUUUUAUUUUAUUUAUUGUUUAUUGGAGAAACUGAACAAAAUUAAGUGAGUUUAUGCUUAAUACAGAAUCAAACAUAUUUCAAUAUUCCAACUUUUUGGACCCCCUUUGGCAAAUAUUUGUUUUUGUUUUAGUCAUGAACUCACUUUUGACAAGACAUCUUAUGUAAUUUUGCUUCUCACGUAACUGAUCUUUAGAUAUUUACAACUGAAAAAAAGACACAAAUAUUGAAAAAAAAGAAAGAAAAAAAAAGACCUAAAAAGCAAUGGAGAUCUUUUUGGAAAUUGUCUUUUCAGAAUUUGAAUCCAAAUAUAAAAUACAAGACAUUUACAUUUAGAUACCAUAUUAACACAUUGGGUUCCGUUCUGUCUUAAAACUCAUACAUUCAUAAAAACCCCGCAGAAGAAACACGUUUCACCAUAUCUUAAUCCGUUCCACAGAUCUCUCCAGAUAUUUCUCUAAAACCUGUGCAAAGACUGUGCAUAAUACACAUACAGUAUCUUCCACAUUUUCUUCUGCAUAAUGCCCUUUCUUUGAUCUCGCUGCAGUAAAGGGCAGGGAGAAACUUAAAUUACAAAGUUAUAUAACAGGAAGGUUUGGAAACCUUACAUUUGGAGGUGGUCAGAAACACGUGUGAUGUAAAUGCUAACUCAUAUCAGACAACAGCGAAUGGCCUUCUGCUCCUCAACCGAUGCCAAUCAACUACUGUUUUUGUAGGUUAAAUAAGAAAAACUGAAAAUAAGGAAAGACUCAUACAAAUACAUACAAAACAACUAACAAACAUUUACGCUGGAACAUGAAAUGAUAUACAAAAAGUGAUUACACUAAUUUCUUUCAUUUGGUUUCAGUAACAUAGAGUCACCAACAGUUUUACAUGCUUUAAUGUGUGCAGUCUGAGAAUGCAAAUGCUCUGUAACAAUGCUUCUAGGAAAAAAUAAUAUUUUUCUAGGUAACUGGAUUCAUUUUAGGGGUGAAAAAAAUGAGAUUUGGGAGUGGAAGACAAUGCACUGAGAGUAAUGCUGGAGAAACAUUAUGAGGACGUAAAGAAAGAAAAGAGAUGUCGGUACACCGAGAGACAGACGUGGAUGCGAUCUGAAAUCCACCCACUGCAUGGGAGUGACGAACGCUGCGUUUUGGGUGAUUGCAUAAGAGAGGAAAUAAUGAGAUUGCUAUGGGUCACUGAACCGAGUCCAUGCUGAAGACCUUCAGGUCUGCAGAAAGUGAGAGGAUUUCACAGUGAGAGUGUUCCCUGCAGAAAACACACUCCGGGCCUCGGUUUAUAAACCGCUUCUCCUUUUUAGCCAGAGAACAGGGCACGCGUUAAUGUGUGUGUCAUGAAAACAUUCACUAAUGUGUCCAUAAUUUGCACACCGCUCAGUCACAUCCUUCACAAACACAUUUAAUCUCUCUCUCUCUCUCUCUCUCUCUCUCUCUCUCUCUCAUGGAGUGGGUUUGCGUUAAAGUCCUCUUAAAGACCUAUUAAAGUCAGAAGAGGAAUAAGGCAGGGUUGCCCACUUUUGGGUCAGCUCUACAGUUUAAUUAUUAAACUGUUAUUGUGCAAAUUAAGAAAUUCAUUAAAAGAUUUACAUAUUGUAGGUUAUUUUAAUGAACCCAUGAAACUCUCUGCUUAUGCAGAUGACCUUAGUGUGAUUGUUAAGGAUGAAGAAGACAUACAAAAUAAUUAGGUUGUAUUCAGUGUUAUGAAAAGGCCUCUUCAGCUAAAAUAAACUGGGGGAAAACGUCUCAGGUUACACAUGUAACCAUGGUUCCUCAAAAGAACAAGGCACUGCGUCGGAGAAUGCUUUGGGAACGCCUCCAGCGUGACCGGCUCUGAAUCACGUGUGUAAUCAGUCCAAUGGAUGGGCGAGACGUCAUAGGCGGGUGACGUCAGAGACCAGGAAGCUUAAAAGUAUGUGCGGUGAAGCUGGCAUCAGCCUCUAGGGGUGAAGCAAGCGCCGGCAGAGAUGCCGGAAGUGUGGCACUGCGACUCAGCGUCUCAUUCCUUCGAGGAACCAUGGUUACAUGUGUAACCUGAGAUGUUCCUCUUCAGGAACUCGAGCUGUGUGGGAGAAUGCUUUGGGAAUGAGAAUGCCCACGCCACCAGACUUUCAAACCUCUGCCUAGUGUGCACAGCUAGGGCGAGAAAACAGAAGAGCCUGGAGUGAGCCUCCAGUGCUCACACUGGACACAUACAAUUAAGCUUCUUUUAGUCUGGCUCCCUGAAGGGAGGAAGACUGAAGGCCUGGAGUACAACAGGCUGUGGUGCAGGAGAGGGGACCUUUGGGACAUGCCCCACUCGAAGGUAGAGAAAUGCUUUGGCCAGACCAGGCGCAAAAUCUAUAUAGAAAGGGGCCAUGGAGAAGGCCUGCAGGUCCUCAACUUCUCUUAAGAGAAGAUAUCUCCAGCAGAAAAGAGGUCUUUAUAGUGAGGUGACGAUCAGAAAUCUCCUCAAUUGGCUUGAAUGGAGGAUUACAGAGAGCCUCUAACACCACAGCCAGGUCCCAAGUAGGGACAUGAGAACAUACAGGAGGUCUCAAUCUCAGUGUAACGCGGGGGAAACGCGAACGCAGACCUACUUGGUGGU
rnacentral:lncRNA from 1 species